UACGUAGGGGCAAGCGUUGUCCGGAUUUAUUGGGCGUAAAGAGCGUGUAGGCGGUUUUACAGGUCCGCUGUGAAAACUCGAGGCUCAACCUCGAGCUGUCGGUGGAAACCGUAAGGCUAGAGUCCGGAAGAGGAGAGUGGAAUUCCUGGUGUAGCGGUGAAAUGCGCAGAUAUCAGGAAGAACACCCGUGGCGGAAGGCGGCUCUCUGGGACGGUACUGACGCUGAGACGCGAAAGCGUGGGGAGCGAACAGG
rnacentral:rRNA from 1 species